CUCCCUGAGAAUUCUCCCUCCCAGCAUGCUCAGUCCACAUCACCUCCUGGGCCCUUUCCAGCUCCGGUCACUAAGCUGAGCCCUCUAAUUUACAAAGAGGGAGCUCCAUGAGGUCAAGCCCCCGGUGAGCGCAGCGCUGGCACAGAGCACCCUGGAGAAGCUGAGUGAGCAUCCACCUGGCCCCAGACUGCACCCUGCACCCUCUGUGGGCUAACUCGUGCCUCGCAACACCCGGGCGCAGGUGCACUAACAUCCCCACCUUGUCCGCGAGGAACGAGAGACUGACGUACCAACGGACAAGGACAGGCCAUAUGCAACAGCAGAAUUCCGACCCACACAGGAAGUCCAGGAAGGCGAGUGACAACCUCUGGAGCGAUCAGCCCAGAGGUUCGAGGCACAGCCAAGACCACCAGAUUCUCUUUUUUUGCCCCCAACUCAGGACCGCCCAGAGAAAGCCACAAACGCCCCCCUCAAACCAAUCACAUGGGAUGCCCACUCCUGGUUGGCCACCUCCAACUCCCGCAGGCCCACAGCCUCCAAUCAGAACACACCUGAAACCUUCCCUUUUCUUUCAGCUUUAUUGAGACAGAAUUCACAUACCAUAAAAUUUACUCAUUUAAAGUGUACAGUUCAGUGUUUUGGUUUUUUUUUAAGUCAUUGGAAAAAUCGAGAAACUGUUUUCUCCUUUUUCUUCUUUCUUUCUUUUUUUGGCGAGGAAGAUUGGCCCUGAGCUAAUAUCUGUUGCCAAUCUUCCCCUUUUUGCUUGAGGAAGAUUGUCGCUGAGCUAACAUCUGUGGCAAUCUUCCUCCAUUUUGUAUGUGGGACGCUGCCACAGCAUGGCCUGAUGAGUGGUACCUAGGUCCAUGCCUGGAAUCUGAACUGGCAAACCCUGUGCUGCCGAAGCAGAGCGCACAAACUUAACCUCUACACCACUGGGCCGGCCCCUGUUCAGUGGUUUUUAGCAUAUUCACAGAGUUGUGCAAUCAUCGCCACUACCUAAUUUAACAUUUCAACACCCCAAAAAGAGACCCUGUAUAUACCCAUUAGCAGUCGCUCCCCACACCCACCCCCCAGCCCCAGGCAACCACGAAUCUACUUUUUGUCUGUGGAUUUGCCUGUUCUGGACAUUGCACACAAUGGAAUCCUACAGGACCUGUCCUUUUGUGUCCGGCUUCCUUCACCCAGCACAACGUCCUCAAGGUUCAUCCACACUGGAGCAGGUGUCAGCAUGUCACUCCUUUUUACGGCUGAAUGAUACUCCAUGGUGUGGCUAUACCACAGCUGGCUUAGCUGUCAUCUGAUGAUGGACACUUGGGUUGUUUCUGCCCUUUAGCCGUUGUGAACAAUGACACUCGUGUACACACUUCUGUAUAGACAUCUAUUUUCAUUUCUCUUGGGAAUAUACUUAAGAGGACUUAUUGGGUCAUGUGGCAACUUUAUGUUUAGCAUUUUGACUUUUCCAAAACGGCCGCCCCAUUUUGCAUUCCCACCAGCAAUGAAUGAGGGCUCCGAUUCCUCCACGUCCUAGUCAACACUUGUUACAGCCUGUCCUUCCAUGAUAGCCAUCCUAGUGGGUGGGAGGUGCUAUCUCCUUGUGGUUUUGAUUGGCACGUCCCUGACGGUUAGCGAGGCUGAGCACCUCUCCAUGUGCUUUUUGACCAUCUGUUUGUCUUCUUUGAAAAUCUUUAUCCAGAUCUUUCGUCCACUGUUUAAGUUGGGUUGUUUGCUUUCCGGUUGUUGUGAAGAACUCCCUACAUGUUACGGACACUAGUCUCUUAUCAGAGACACGAUUUGCAAAGAUUUCCUCCCAUUUCAUGGGUUGUCUUUCCACUUUCUUUUCUUUUUUCCAGAUUUUUUUUUUUUUAAAGAUUGGCACCUGAGCUAACAUCUGUUGCCAAUCUUUUUCUUCUCUUUCUCCUUCUUCUCUCCAAAGCCCCCCAGUACAUAGUUAUAUAUUCUAGCAGUAGGUCCUUCUAGUUCUGCUGUGUGGGACGCCACCUCAGCAUGGCUUGAUGAGCGGUGCUAGGUCCACACCCAGGAUCCGAACUAGUGAAACCCUCGGCCACCAAAGCAGAGCACGGGAACUUAACCACUUGGCCGCAGGGCUGGCCCCUCCACUUUCUUGAUGAUAUCCUUUGACACACAGAAGUUUAAAAUUUUGACUAACUCCAACUUACCUACUUUUUUCUUACUUUGCGCUUUUGGUGUCAUAUAUAAGAAACCACGGUCUAACACAAAGUCACAAAGAUUUACACUCAUGUCUUUCUCUAAGAGUUUUACAGUUUUAGCUCUUACAUUGAGGUCUAUCACCCAUUUUGAGUUAACGCUGAGUUAAUUUUUGUGUACAGCGUGAGGUAGGGGCCCGGCGUCAUCCUUUUCCACGUGGAUACCCAGUGGUCCCAGCACAAUGUGUUAAAAAGACCGUUCUUUCCCACAUUGAAUGGUCUUGGCAUGAAACCAAUCAACCAUGAAUGCGAGGGUUUAUUUCUGGAGUCUCAGUUCCAUUGCAAUGGUCUGUCUGCCUGUCCUCAUGUCAGGACCACGCUGUAUCGAUCGCUGUAGCUUCGCAGUAAGUUUGAAUUAGGAAGCGUGAGUCCAACAAUUUUGUUCUUCUUUUUCCAAGUUGUUUUGGCUCUUCGAGAUGCCUUUGCAUUUCCAUGUGGAUUUGAGGACGAGCUUGUAAAAAGCCAGCUGGGAUUCUGAUAGGUAUGGCAUUGAAGCUGUGGGUCCAUUUGGGGCAUACUGACGUGGGCACAAUAUGAAGUCUUCUGCUCCGUGAACAUCGGAUAUCCUUCCAUUUAUUAGAUCUUCUUUAAUUACUUGUGACGGUGUUUGGUAGUUUUCAGUGUACAAGUCUUAGAUUUCUUUUGCUAAAUUUAUUUCUAGGGAUUUUGUUCUGUUUGCUGCUAUUACAAAUGGGAUUAUGUUCUUAAUUCCAUUUUUGGAUCGUUCAUUGCUAGUGUAUAGAAAUAAGACUGAGUUUUGUAUGUUGAUCUUGGAUCCUGCCAAUUGCCGUACAUGGUUAUUAGUUGGAAUAGUUUUUCUGCAGAUUGAUUUCUCAGGAUUUUCUAUACACAGCAUCAUGUCACCUGCAAAUAGAGAUGGUUUACGCCCUCCUGUCCAAUCUAGGCGCCUUUCAUUUCUUCUUCUUGCCGAAUUGCCUUGGCCAGAACCUCCAGGACAAUGUGGCAUGCAAGCGGGUAGAGUGGACGUCCUCGUCUUGCUCCUGGUCUGAGGGAACUCCCAUCCUUCACAAUGGGUAGGGGUUAGCUAGGGGCUUUGUAACGCCCCUUAUCAAAUGGGGAAGUUCCACUCUGUUCCAAACGCUUCCCUCGUGACAGAGUGUUGGGUUUUGUCAACUGCUUUUCCUGCAUCUAUUGAGAUGGUCACAUGACUUCUGUCCUUUAUUCUAUUAAUAUAGUGUAUGACAUUGGUUGUUUUUCGGAUGUUAAACUCUCCCUUUUUUUUUUUUUUUUUUUUAAUAUAAAGCUGUCCCUCUCCGGCUCUGUGAGUCUCUGCCAAACGCAGUGAGGGUGGUUGGGUCCCUUGCUAUAGCAGCCUCUGCAUAAACAGCCUCUGUCGGUUUCAUCUGGGUGGUCCUCUCUUAUUUCCACAGGAAAUCAAGGCAGGGGGGUGGGGUUCAGUGAUUCCCCCUGGACAGGACGACAGUGUGUGUGCCCCCCAAGAGAGUGGUGAGUCACCAGUCCUGGGGCUGUGCCUGGUGGACAAGCCUCUCAGUCAAAGAAGCUUAAAGGAGGCAGUGACCUCCUGCCUCAGGGCCAGGCCCUGCUCCAAGUGCUUGCAAAAAUCCUUGCAUUCCACCAACCCAAGAACGCAGGGAGCUGCUCUGCCACAGAUGGGGAAACUGAGGAACCAGUCCGAAGCCACACAGAGGGGCAGACUCCAAGCCAAAGCCAGCUGGCCAGGAAAGGCCUGCUCUUCUCGCCCUGCUGCCUGCUACUUGCCCAUCAAACCAUCAGCCCCAACUGCCCUCAGGGCAAAGUGCAGGGAGGGGUCUCCCAUCCCAGGCACAGCCCUGCCCCUCCUUCCCUCAUUCUCCCUGCAGCCCAUCUGGGUGCUCCUCCACGAGUGCUGGGGCAGCAUCCAGCUGACAACAAGAGUCUUUCUCAGGACGCACCCCCGGGAUGGCCCACCUGCCCCCCGAUCACACUGGUACACGUCAUCUCAUCACUGCCAGUGACGUUUAGUGUUGUGUGUCAGCAUGACUGGCCACAGGGUGCCCAGAUAAACGUUAUAUCUGGGGGCGUCUGGGAAGGUGUUUCCAGAUGAGAUGAGCUUUGGAAUCACUGGAUGCAGGAGAGCAGACGGCCCUCCCGCGUGCGGUGGGCCUCGUCGUCCACCGAGGGUCUGGAGGAACAAAGGUGGAGGAAGCAGGAAUUCACUCCUUUUCCCGCCUCACCCCGUGUGCUGGGACAUCUCAGCUCAUCUUCUCCGGCCCUCAGACUGGGAACACACCAUCCACUCGCCUGGGCAUCCAGCUUGUAGACGGCAGACCUUGGCAGUCCUCAGGCUCCAUAACUACAGGAGCCAAUGCCUCAUAAUAAAGCUCCUUCAUCUCCUCCUGGUUCUGUUUCUCUGGAGAGCCCUGACCAAUACGCUGCUGGUGGGUCCCCUGAGGUCCUCACAAGGUCAAGUUGAUGGGCCACUGGACAGGGCACUUCAGAAGUGGUCCCCGGGGAGAGCCCCCAGGUGCCAGGCACCUGGAGGUGGUCCUUACACCCUCGCAGCCAUUUCCUAGCGAGCCCCCAGGUGCCGCUGAGAGCUGCUUCCACCGUGGAGCCAAGGCAGCCUGUUGCCGUCUGUGUUCCCACUCAAUCUGGAGCAGGCCUGAGGCUCCCUGGGGAAACCCUCUGGUCACUCCCACUGCAGUCAGAAGCGAACAAAGCCCCACUCUGGCUUUCACCUGCCCCCUCACCUCCACCUGCCCCCGACCUCAGCGUCCCGCCUCUUCACCAUCCCUCUGCUUGCAUCCCACUGCCUUCCUUUCUGUUCCUCCAACCUGCCCCUCUGUGCCUGGACUGCUCCUCCCCAGGCGCUGCAGGGCUGCCUCCCCCCUCCUAAGGGCCUGGAUCCGUUGUCAACGCCUCCAAGCCCCCAGGCUGCAACAGCGCCCCCAUCUGUGACUCUCUUUCAAGUAUCCUGGGAGUUCCCUCCCUUCCCAGUAUGGACAUAAACAUUGUGGGGUAACAUCCGUCACCCUCCCCAGGGCCUAAGUUAUUCAAGGGAAGGGCUCCUGGCUGCCCGGCUCCCGGCUGCCCGGCUCCCCACAGCCAGCGUCUGGAAGGGCACCUGGCACACAGCUAAAUAUCUGAUGCCAGCCCGAGGCAGGGGACAGAACAAGCCAGCCGGGCAGGACUUGCUUUGGAGAUGGGGGACCGAGGAUGCAGCGUGCUUGGUUCUGCCCUUGCCCCUGGUCCCUGAGGGUGAGCUCAAUAUCUCCCUUUGCCCCCUUCCCAGAGGGCUCAGGGAAGACCCUUUUCUGAGGAUACAGCUCACAACUUUGGCAGGAAUGUCCUCAUCACUGUGGAUGGCGGGGAGCUGACAGGACACGAGGGCACCCAGGACAUCCUGACCAGGUUCCUCACGCCGGAGGUCUGUUCUGCCUCCUUUGCAACCAAAAUGCAUCCUGGCAGACCCCCAAGUGAAGACUUACGUUAUUUUGAUUAUAGUGUCACUUUCACGUGCACAAACAUAACACUGGGUAUCAACGUGUGCUUGUGGCUCUUACACAAGCAUGAAGCCAAAACAAACUUUAAAAUUAAUCACCAAGCAAACUACGAAACUAUUAGAGCAGAGAUGAAUGCGAUCAGGCUUCUGUCUAAAGUGGCAGCCACUGGCCACCACGGCUACUCACAUUUAAACUACAACGAACGAUGACGACAAAAGACUCCCUUCCUCGCUCGCGGCAGUGGCUGUGUUUCAAGCGGUCAGUGGUCAUUUGUGCUAGAGUUCCUGCAGACACAGAAGGUUUCCAGCUCUUCACCUGCACGACACCUGGCCACAGACUUGCUCCGUCACC
rnacentral:lncRNA from 1 species